rnacentral:misc_RNA from 1 species
UUUCCGUAGGUGAACCUGCGGAAGGAUCAUUAACGAGUUAGGGUCUUCUAGGCCCGACCUCCCAACCCUUUGUUUACUGAACCAUUGUUGCCUCGGUGGGUCCGUCUUACGACCGCCGGGGGAUCGCCGCGAGGCGCCCCCUGGCCAGCGCCCACCGAUAGCCCAACCUUUAAAACCCUUUGUGAAUCGUGUCUUAUGUCUAAAUUUAGGAUUAAACAAUCAAAACAAAACUUUCAACAACGGAUCUCUUGGUUCUG